CUGGGAGCCCCAGGCCAACAUCCCUCUCCAGCUGGUCGUGGCCUGCCUACCCGCACGACCACUGUCUCCAGGACCCGCCUGGGUGCCACAGGGCCCAGCGCCUACCUGCAAAGGCAGAGGGAAGACGCCACUCACCAUGUCCUUGAAGGCCCCCAGCACGGCAGCUGUGACAAUGCCCACGCACAGGCCCAAGAUGUUCAGCACUGUGGAGACCCAGAGCAGCCGGUAGAGGUGGACCACGUCCUGACAGCUACGCACACCCACAAAUUCGUAGUAGUAGCUGCAUCCCCUGGACACCCUGGACAGCCUGUGUUUAGUGAUCUUGGAGCCAGAAGCAGCUCACCACUGACAAGACGGCUGUUUAAACAGUGUGCAGGUUCUUCUCCCUGUAAACUGCUGUGCAGCCUCUAAACAUGGCCAUGGAAAAACAGUGGACCUGCACAUGAGCGUGUCUGUGGGAUCGAUUCCUCCAACGCACAGAAACACGGCGCUUCUACAGAGGACGUAUUCAAGCCCUUUGCACUUUACAAUCGAGAGUCCAAUAAAAACGCCAGGUCUUUUGGGCAUUUCCUCCUAUGCUGAAUGACAUUUGAAACUAUUGAUCUUUUAAGGUCUGACAAUCUGAUGGACAAAAACCCCACCUUAUUUCGAGUUGCAUUUCUCUAAAUAUUAAUGAUGGCGGAUGCCUUCCUCAA